AGUAAUGAUUAAGAGGGACAGUUGGGGGCAUUCGUAUUUCGUUGUCAGAGGUGAAAUUCUUGGAUUUACGAAAGACGAACUACUGCGAAAGCAUUUGCCAAGAAUGUUUUCACU
rnacentral:rRNA from 1 species